AACGAACGCUGGCGGCAUGCCUAACACAUGCAAGUCGAACGAGACCUUCGGGUCUAGUGGCGCACGGGUGCGUAACGCGUGGGAACCUGCCCUUAGGUUCGGAAUAACUCCCCGAAAGGGGUGCUAAUACCGGAUAAUGUCUUCGGACCAAAGAUUUAUCGCCUUUGGAUGGGCCCGCGUUGGAUUAGCUAGUUGGUAGGGUAAAAGCCUACCAAGGCGACGAUCCAUAGCUGGUCUGAGAGGAUGAUCAGCCACACUGGGACUGAGACACGGCCCAGACUCCUAGGGGGGGCAGGAGUGGGAAAUAUUGGACAGGGGGCGAAAGCCUGAUCCAGCAAGGCCGGGGGAGGGAGGAAGGCCUUAGGGUUGUAAAGCUCUUUUCCCCGGGAUGAUAAUGACAGCACGGGGAGAAAAAGCCCCGGCUAACCCCG
rnacentral:rRNA from 1 species